rnacentral:rRNA from 1 species
UACGUAGGGUGCAAGCGUUAAUCGGAAUUACUGGGCGUAAAGCGUGCGCAGGCGGUGAUGUAAGACAGUUGUGAAAUCCCCGGGCUCAACCUGGGAACUGCAUCUGUGACUGCAUCGCUGGAGUGCGGCAGAGGGGGGAUGGAAUUCCGCGUGUAGCAGUGAAAUGCGUAGAUAUGCGGAGGAACACCGAUGGCGAAGGCAAUCCCCUGGGCCUGCACUGACGCUCAUGCACGAAGCGUGGGGAG